UUUAUGCGGAGUCAUUCUUUUAGCUUGAGUUAUUCCUUUUUGUAAAACUUUAGAAACAGACAUCCUGACCUCAUACCGCAGCCAUUGACCACAUAGCUAAUCUCUGGACUCUUUUCCUAAGCACAUUUUUUUCUAGGUUAAUCUAGCUAAAAGCUAAAGCUCCAGCCAUUUGUUUAUUUUCCCUAACAUCUUCAGCGAUUCCCCUUCUAUCUACUGAUACCUUUGAGAGCAGGACUGAAAGAUAGUUUGUGACUAUGCUUUUAGAGAACAAGCUGAUUGUCCUGUGAAGAUAGGUGGCCUUUUAGUUCUAAUUUUGGUUACAGUUUGUUGUUUAUUUUGUAAUAAGAGCCAUAAUUUUGCAGUAAUUUAUAUUACUAGACUUAUGCAGUGAUCCAAGGUGUCGACUGAGAGAAAAAUGCAUAAGAUGGGAGUUGUGAGUUAAGUUUCAUACAGGGUCUUACUGAAGACCGUAGCCCCAGAGACAGCCUUCAGAUAGCUCUAAGAAACUGCCCCAAAGAAGUGUAGGGGAGGCUAGUUUAUAUGUGAAUUUUUUUGUUGUUAGGAAAUACAUGUAGUCAAGGUGUAUUGAGUUGGCCAAAAAGUUCAUUUGGGUUUUGCUGUAACGUCUUGCAGAAAAACCGAAACGAACUUUUUGGCCAACGCAUUAUCUUGGUAAAAGAUCACUGCUAGUCACAAAGAACAAAAAUGCCAGGUUAAUGAUUAUAGUGCUUUUCUAUGUAUGGAAAGCGGGGUUCAUAAAAAUUCUUCGUGAAAUGCAUCUUUCUAAGGGCCUGUUUGUCCAAAGCACAGAGUAUCCAGUUUUCAUCUUUCCUCCUCUGUCUAAAGCACAGAGUGCCCAUCCUGUUAUCACCUUAAUGGUUUCAUCUGAAGCCUCCAGUGCCCUGUUGGUCAGCAGCUGCAGCAGGUUUAUCUUUGAAGACAUCGAUGAAUACUCACUGUGGAGACAGGAUGAAUUUGACCAGUGAAAAGUUGCCCAAGAACCCCUUUUAUACUUCUCUAUCCCAUUAUGCUGCUAAGAACCAAAAACUCUUCCAGUGGAGAAAGGAAAAGACUGAUCAUUACAGCCAUGCUACUUUGGUGGAUACGGCAUUGCAGCUCUUGAAGGAAAGAAUAAGGAGAGGGGAUACUCUGGCAUACUUCCUACGAGGUCAACUGUAUUUUGAAGAGGGAUGGUAUGAAGAAGCAUUAGAACAGUUUGAAGAAAUCAAGGAAAAGGAUCAUCAGGCAACUUACCAGCUGGGAGUGAUGUAUUAUGAUGGCCUGGGGACAACCGCAGACACUGAAAAAGGAGUGGAAUAUAUGAAGAAAAUCGUUGAUUCUCCGUGUCCCAAAGCAAGACACUUAAAAUUUGCAGCAGCUUACAACCUUGGAAGAGCUUAUUAUGAAGGGAAAGGCGUUAAACGAUCAGACGAGGAAGCUGAAAGACUGUGGCUUUUUGCUGCAGACAGUGGAAAUCCAAAAGCUAGUGUGAAGGCUCAAAGUAUCCUAGGAUUGUAUUACUCAACAAAGGAACCCAAAGAGUUAGAGAAGGCAUUUUAUUGGCAUUCACAAGCUUGUGGCAAUGGAAACCUGGAGUCCCAGGGUGCACUUGGGCUCAUGUACUUUUAUGGACAAGGCAUCCGCCAGGAUACUGAGGCUGCCCUGCAUUGCUUGAGGGAAGCAGCGGAGCGUGGAAAUGUCUAUGCUCAAGGGAAUCUUGUGGAGUAUUUCUAUAAGAUGAAAUUUUUCACAAAGUGUGUUGCAUUUUCAAAAAGGAUUGCUGACUACGAUGAGGCUCAUGACAUCCCCACGAUCGCGCAGGUCACGGACUGUCUCCCGGAAUUCAUCAGCAGAGGCAUGGCCAUGGCCUCUUUCUACCAUGCACGGUGUCUGCAGCUUGGCUUGGGUGUCACAAAGGAUGAAGCAACAGCGAAGCACUAUUAUUCUAAACCCUGUAGAGCUCCUGCAAUCAAGCCCUGCUGGCCUUCAAAGCCAGAUGCUCUGGGGGCUCCUCCUCCUGAUGCCAGACCCCCAGGCUGGGGAGCCUGACGUGAGGACUCAGAACUCUCCUGUGGGAGAAUCUCUGCAAUAUAAUUAUUUUCCAUUUUGUGGGUCACCUACCCAGCAGGCUUGUCAUCUGAAUCCUGCAUUGGCAGAUGAACUUCACACUUUACUUAUUCAUCAAAGAAUUUAGACGACAAUGCAUUUCAACAAAGAUCAUCAAUUCUAACGCCUCAGAAUAACUUAUGUUUCAUAUCAAG